rnacentral:rRNA from 1 species
CCUACGGGCGGCAGCAGUGGGGAAUAUUGCACAAUGGGGGAAACCCUGAUGCAGCGACGCCGCGUGAGUGAAGAAGUAUUUCGGUAUGUAAAGCUCUAUCAGCAGGGAAGAAAAUGACGGUACCUGACUAAGAAGCCCCGGCUAACUACGUGCCAGCAGCCGCGGUAAUACGUAGGGGGCAAGCGUUAUCCGGAUUUACUGGGUGUAAAGGGAGCGUAGACGGCAGCGCAAGUCUGGAGUGAAAUGCCGGGGCCCAACCCCGGAACUGCUUUGGAAACUGUGCAGCUGGAGUGCAGGAGAGGUAAGCGGAAUUCCUAGUGUAGCGGUGAAAUGCGUAGAUAUUAGGAGGAACACCAGUGGCGAAGGCGGCUUACUGGACUGUAACUGACGUUGAGGCUCGAAAGCGUGGGGAGCAAACAGGAUUAGAUACCCGGGUAGUC